rnacentral:SRP_RNA from 1 species
GCUGGGUGCUGGUAAGUACAUGUGAUCCCAGCUACUUGGGAGGCCAGGGUGGGAGGAUGGCUGGAGCCCGGGAGUUCUGGGCUGUGGGGGCCCACGCCAAUCAGGUGUCUGCACUGAGUCUGGCAUCAGUACGGUAAUGUCCAGGAGGAGGGGACAGGCCCACGUUGGGGAUGGAGCAGGUCAGAACUCCUGUGCUGAGCAGUAGUGGGACUGCACCUGUGAGCCAGUGCGCCCCAGCCUGGGCAACACAGUGACACCCUGUCAUU